GGAGGGCAGGCUGGUGGACCUCUUGGACCCGCCUCUUGGAAAGGUGUCGAUCCCAGGAGCACUCUCUAAUCACCUUCCUGCCCACCCAGCUCCAUCUCAGAAUCAGCUUCCAGGCACGCGCAUCCUGUGACGUGGAGGUGGUGAGCAGUGGUCAGGUUCUGAUUACAUUGUGAAGGUUAUACAUUAAAAUAACUGAAGACACACGUUCAAGAAAUAGAAACACAAGAGGGAACUUUGAAUCAUUUAUUCCUGCCUAUUCUUUGCAGAGAGAUAAGAAAACUGAGGCCCAAGGUUUCUCUGACUUGCCUGGCAUCACACAGCUCAAAUGGAGACCAAAUUCUGCGAUUCUGUCUGUCUCUUUCUGGCAUCACCCUGAAAAGGCCCCCUUCUCCUUUCCUGUAUACCAGUGGAUCUCAACCAACGGCAACUUUACCUCUCAGGGGACAUUUGGAAAUGUCUGGAGGUAUUUUUGGUUGACACAACUGGCAGAGGAGGGCACAGGUACAGGUGCUACUGGCAUCCAGUAGGCGGAAGCCAAGGAUGCUGCUAUACAUCCGACGGUGCACAGACUACUCCCACAAAGAAGUAUUUGGCCCUAAAGGUUAAUAGUGCAGAGGCAGAAAAGCCAAGGUCGGGAGUGCGCCCCACAUCAGGCGGAAGUUCCAACCUCUGGGAGUUGCCAGGGCUCCUCUGCCCAGCGACAGGCUUGGCCUCUCUCCCGAGGCUGCCACAAGAGCUGAAGCCACUGUCUAGAAUGCCCUUUGGCAGCGGGCAAGUGUCCCCUGUGGAGUUUCCUGCGGGACAGGCAGUGCAUCAGCUGGAGCUGCUGUGUGUUAUAAUUUAUAGUCGCAGGACGCCUGUCUUCAUUUAGCAGCAAGCUCGCUGGCAGCUGCCCUGCCAGGGAGGAAGUGAGUCCCGCAGAGGCCCGCAGCACCCCCCACAGCUGACAGCCCGUGGUAUUUGGGGACGGCUGUUGCUCGGAGGCACCUGGGAAUAGGCCAGGGUGGAGAUGGCGCUGAGCACGUGGUCUCCCCUUCCGACCAUCCGUCAGCAGCGGCCCCUGCCAGAAGAUGGCCUAUUGAACAUUUCCAGGAAUAGCACUGCCAAGCCUGUCAACUGCUUUCUUGGAAAUACACUCAAUAAGGAUGGCGGGCCUCCAGCAGGGAGAGCAGAAAGCCCGGCCUGGACCACGCCACUCAGAAACGGCAGGGCCUGGCUGCAGGCCCUGGCAGUGCCUUGGGGAAGAGGAGCUGUAGCUUCUGGAGUCGUUUAAAAACGUUCUCAGCGUGGAGGGGAGAUGACCACACCUUUCAGAAGGUCGGGCCCUGCUGACCUCAUACAACCCCGUGACCUUUAAAUGCCUGCUGUGUUUGUUCAGCCACCAGCGGACUGGAAGGCUAUCCAGCUUGGAGGCCAGAAAGCCUAAGGAACUUUCCUCUCUGCAUGGACCUUGUGGCUCCACACAGACAUGCAAGGUCACAGCCAAAUGAGACGGAAGAAGUGGAGGAGAGACUCCCAUUAACAUCCAUGGUCUGGUCGUGCCUCUUCUACUCACAGUCCUUUGUGCAGGACGGUAACAUGGCCUCAACCCCUGCAAGCGAGGAGGGGAGGGGAGCACAUGGAUUUUCCCUUCCCAGAGCUGUGGUGGUCUCUACCUCCAUGAAUAAACCCAGCUCCUAGCCUCAAGUUAAGAACAACUGCUAGCAGCUUUAUUAACCAGGUUGUGAGAACCCCUUUCUUAUUAAUUAUAGUCAUGUAUUUACUUGAAUUGAAACCUCUUCAUUUGUUCACUCAAUAAAUAUUUAUUGAGUGUUCCCUCUCUACCAGUAUUUUUAGGCCCCCAGGAAUAUAUCAGUAAAUGAAACAGAAUAAAGCCACUACUUUUGUAGAACUAGCAUUCCAGUGGGGAAUGGGAGAGGAUAGACACUUAACCCAAAAAUUAAGAAAGUGGUAUAAUAUAUUAGGUGUUGGUAUGUGCAAGGGAGAAAGAUAAAACACGGAAGAGGGGAUCAAGGUGUGAGUGUGUGUAUGUGUGCAUUGAGGGGAUGAUUUUAAAUAGGGGGGCUAGGGAAGGCCUUCCUGAGAAGGUAACAUUUGAGCAGACAUCCAAAGAAUGCAAAGGGCUCUGGGGUGAAAGCAUUCUAAGAAGAGGAAGUAACUGGCGCAAAGGCCCUGAGGCAGGGGACUGCCUGACGUGUCAGAGGACAGCCAUGUGGCUGAGACGGACGGAGAGCAGUAGAAGACGAGAUCAGAAAGGGGAUGGGGGUGGGAUAUACUGACCCUUGAGGACCUUGUGCUUUUACUCCUGCUUAAAAACCUCCAUUUCCUCCUCCUUGUCCUAAGAACCUGGUCCUGGCUCCUCCCCCACCUCCCAACACACCCACUGUUCUUCUCUCAGUCCCCCUGUAGCAGUGCCUCUCAGACCUGAGGGGCAUCAGGACCACCUGGGGGGAGUGUUAAAUCAGAUUUUCCAUAGUGGGGCCUGAGAAUCUGC